AUCCCCACCCCUUUCCACUGAUUGGUAGGCUGCUUCCUGAUGACUGGUUUAUUCUCUUGUCUGUCAGCUGGCAGCUGCAUCGAUCAGGUCAACAAGCCCAGAAGAGAUUAUUUGGGGCAUGCGCUGAGCUGACAACAGUAACAUUUUACAAAGGUGUCACUGCAUAAAAAGUGGGAGUGAACAGCCCACUGUCAGCUCCACAAAGCUUUCUUGCGGAUGGAGAAAAAUAAAAAACUAUUUGCUCAAACAACCAGAACCCCAUUCAAUGCUGUGGAUGAUCUGAGAAAAAACUGGCAGAGCUGGGCAGAAGAUCACAUUGAUUAUCAGAAGAAGAACCCAUUCAGCAAUGAUGACAGACUUUUGUCCAAGCCUGUUCAUGCCUGCUGCAAAGGAGAUCCCACUUAUGGAAGACCCCCUGAAGGAUCUAAGACAGAGCAGAGAGGAAAAGAUGCCCACACGCAUGUGGGGAAGGAAGUGGAAGAGUUAUGCAUGAUCAUAAGAAGCAUUGGGGAGAAAGGGAAAGAUGGGAAUGUGAGGGUGAACUUCCAACGGUUGUUUGAAACAUAUGUGACUAUUUCCAAUAAGGUAGUGGGAAUUCUGCUGCGAGCAAGAAAACAUGGGCUGGUUCAGUUUGAAGGGGAAAUGCUCUGGCAAGGAAAAGAUGACAAUGUGAUCAUCACCUUACUUGAAUAAGGUUUUGCGACCUAAUGAAUGCCACUGCAUGUUUUCUUUCAGGAAAACAACAUCUAAAUGCCAUCUUGAAAGAGGUUUUUGUAACUAAACUUCAAACUAGCUAAUCACACAGGACAUGGGCAGGAAGGGAACGUUCAGUGAAGAGGCUGAAUAAUGCUUCCAUAGAAUGCCAGAAGAUAAGGAUGGAAAUAAGCAUAUGGACUGGCUGAUCCAUUGCUAUGCCAUUGGAUUGUUCUUUACAGUAUAUCAUCUGCUUUAUUUAGUCAGCUGUUAAAAAUCACUCCAGUGACGGGGUGUCUCUUGGGGUUCUGAGUAACAGAAGUUAAAAUUCUUGCUUUCGGUCUGCACUGGUUCUUAUGCUAACAAGUUUAGAAGUAUGCAGGGAGUAAAAUCUGCAUGGAAUGUAAGCAGAAAGCUAUUUUUUUUCAAAAUUGCACCUAUAGGGCAAUUUGGGUUGUUUUUACAUAUCAGGACUGUAGAUAUGAGUAUAGGGAAUAUCACAUACUACUUGAAAAAAUUAAUAGCUUAGUGCAAUAGAAUACUCCUUCAAUAGCCUGCAUAAUUACCAUGAGGGUACGAGUUACGUCUUAAAUAUGUUUUUAGGGUAGUACAUCAUUAUAUAGUAUAGGAAAGUCUAUUCCUAAUCAAUCUUCUCCACAACCAUUAGAUAUCUCUUUUUCUAUUCUUCCCAUUUUUGCACCUUGGAUAACUUCACUCUGAUUGUAUCUGUUCUGGCCACCUGAAACUUACCUCUCACCCAAGAAGUUUACAUAGCUAUGCAAAAACCCCUCCAAGCAACUUGAAGGUGUCGUUAAGAUAAAAUGGAUCCCCUUCAGGACAGGAGGCUGCCACAACAAAGGGAUUUGGAGGAGGACUUUAAGCAUAACCUUGGCCAAUGGUAAUAGCACUGAAUACCUUCACCUUUUCAAACUCCACUCCUCACAGAAGGGAGGACAAGAACCCUGAAGUGCCAAAUACAUAGCUACUUAAGCUACUGCUUAAGACAUGCCUCAUUUGGCUUAGGCAGAAAGCCAUAUUGAUUUAAGCUUUCGAUGCACCCUCUCAAAAGAAGAAAGGACAGUGUUUUGGUUCAAAAAUUCAACUGGAAGUUGAUGCAUAUGAAUUCCAUUCCUGGCUCUGCCAUGGACACCUUGGCCUUUUCUAUAUGAGAAAAAUCAAGACCUUUAACUUCCUGUGGAUGCAGUAACAUAAUUGAAGGCUAUAAAUUACUCAGGAACUCUAUUUAUACAUUUUCAACUAUUUAAAACUACACCUAGUUGGGAAUAAAAAUUUACUGUUGCCUGUGUACUUAGAGUCACACAAGAGUUGUGUCUAAAUCACUUAAUAGGUCUGUGCCUCAUUCCACCUGUAAAACAAUAGCAUUUCCUUACCUCAGAGGGAUGUUAUUUAUAUACAUUGAUAAAAGAGUCUUGAUAAGUGCAAUAGUUUAUCAUGCUAAUUACUGAUGCACAAAUAGCAAUUGGCAUCUGCAAAAGAGUGUUAAAGAGGAACAUUUUCAUUAAAUAUAUUAAUCAAAAUGCAAUAAUUUUCUAUUUUGAUUCAAUUUGAAACUGAGUUUCAUUUCAUAUGAUCAAAUUUAAAAUAAAUUGGCAUCCACUUUUACCAUUUCAUUUCCUCCCCUUCCAAAAGUGUUGGGGGAAUGUAAAAAAGGAAGGAAAGGGGAGAUGCCAGAAAUGCUAAAAUACUUCAUUUUGAAUGCAAAUGAAACAAGAUUUAUUUAGAUGCAUCAGAACAUUUCAAACAAGUAGAAAGCAUUUGAAAAUAUUUAUAUUGGUCAUUUUUGUCCAAGUAGCUCAGCAACCAAAUCUGCUAAUGAACUUCAUUAGAUUAAUAGAAGCUGGGCACGCAUAUUAUACAUAGAUUUCAUAGAGCAGAAAAAUGCUUUUCAAACUUACAGUAUGUAGCAUUUGGUAUGUCUAGCUUAAAUGCGUUAAAUCUAGUUGAUUCCUCCUUUGUGGCACUUGUAAAUCAAUCCUUUCAAGAAUAUGAUCAGGUAGUACAAGCAUUGAGGGGUAACUAAUGGAACACUGGUUAGCACUGUUGGGCAAAAAAAAUGUGGUAGGCUGCCCCUUUCAGAAACUGUAACACAAUGGAAAAGACCUUUUUGGAUUGCAGCAUCUGUAGCUUGUAUCAUCCCAAAAUGCAACUACAGCUUCUGUAGACAUAUUUGAAUCACCAGUAAGCUAUCAGUGAAGCUGCAGAAGCAUGUUUCAGGAGUUGCACACGUACCCAGGACCAGCGUUGGUCCUGGGUAGUUCCCACUGAAGUCUGUGCAGCUGUGGUUUGGUUAGAGCUAGGUUAAAGAUUUCAGCACCAGUUGCAGUAAUACCUCUAGAUACAGUGUAGACAGAGCAGGUAAGGUCCAAAGGACCAGAGAAAAGAAUUAGAUUAAGCUUUAGGAGAUAUGACCAUCUUAUUGCUUUCAGGGUCAUACACUGCUGUACAAAACCCAUUGAAAAGGGAGCUAUGAUUUUAAUGAGAUUUGAACAGCAAUAAAGCCAAAUUUACUAUUUGUAGAUUGUACACGUGCAACCCCUAAAGACAGGGUGUGGAAUGGUUAAAAGGAUGCAAGACUUGCCAUACUGGGUGGGAUCACAGGUCUACAAAUCCAGUAUUUUGCUUUCAGCAGUGACCAAAACUUGAUACUGCAAAAUAUAAUUAUAUAUAUAUAGUGCAGUAGGCCAGUGUGUUCAUGGAUAUGCUCAAGUGUAAAAAUUCCUUCCUCAAAUUGUUUAAACUAUCAGGAAGACAUCAUUUCUAGUACUAGUGCUUAGAACAGAAGACUAGGAGUUGGGAGAUCCAGAUUUUAAUCUCAGCACUAAUAUUUGUUUAUGCAAUUUACAGCAAGUUAUUUUAUUUUUCAUAGGAUUCCCCAUUUGUAAAACAGAGCCAUAACUCACCUUUGUAAAGCACUUUAAGAUCUUUAGAUUAAUAAUUAUGUAUCUUUUAUAUAAUUUAUGAUACUCAACCAACAUUGCCACUACCAAGAAAAAGUGAAAUCAUUUUCUAGAGUUUUUUCUUUUUGCCAAAAUUCAUGUUCAUGUGAAGGAUCAAUUUUGGUAUUUUAAAAAUUGUCAGAUUCAGGAAUGCAAGUUUGAAUAAUAAAAAACAUGCAUGCUUCCACUGA